AGAGUUUGAUCCUGGCUCAGGAUGAACGCUGGCGGCGUGCCUAAUACAUGCAAGUCGAGCGAACGUCAUAGAAGCUUGCUUCUAUGACGUUAGCGGCGGACGGGUGAGUAACACGUGGGCAACCUGCCUGUAAGACUGGGAUAACUUCGGGAAACCGAAGCUAAUACCGGAUAGGAUCUUCUCCUUCAUGGGAGAUGAUUGAAAGAUGGUUUCGGCUAUCACUUACAGAUGGGCCCGCGGUGCAUUAGCUAGUUGGUGAGGUAACGGCUCACCAAGGCAACGAUGCAUAGCCGACCUGAGAGGGUGAUCGGCCACACUGGGACUGAGACACGGCCCAGACUCCUACGGGAGGCAGCAGUAGGGAAUCUUCCGCAAUGGACGAAAGUCUGACGGAGCAACGCCGCGUGAGUGAUGAAGGCUUUCGGGUCGUAAAACUCUGUUGUUAGGGAAGAACAAGUACGAGAGUAACUGCUCGUACCUUGACGGUACCUAACCAGAAAGCCACGGCUAACUACGUGCCAGCAGCCGCGGUAAUACGUAGGUGGCAAGCGUUAUCCGGAAUUAUUGGGCGUAAAGCGCGCGCAGGCGGUUUCUUAAGUCUGAUGUGAAAGCCCACGGCUCAACCGUGGAGGGUCAUUGG
rnacentral:rRNA from 1 species